GGGGGUGUAAGGUUUCGACGGAUUUUUUGAUAUAUUAAUAGCGAGUAGUGGAUGGUUGCUUUGGCCACUAUAAAAAAGCAAAAUUAAAAUUAAACGCUGAUAGAGAAGAAUUAGCAUUUGCUGCUUAGUUUAUAGCAGCUUGUCUUAUUUAUUUUUGCUAGAGGAAUAAAUAAGGCAUCAUAUUAUCUAGCAAACAAAUUUAACUGAUAACUUUAGGUUAAAGGGUAUUUUAAAGUUAUAUUAAUCAAUUUUUUGUAAAUGUUUUAUUUGAUUAAUAUUAUUUGUAACAUUUACUGCACUCGGAGAAUUUAAUAUUGAUGAAUUUUCGGACGCGAGUUCAAUUCUCGCCACCUCCACCA
rnacentral:tmRNA from 1 species